GUAGGGUGGCAAGCGUUGUCCGGAAUUAUUGGGCGUAAAGCGCGCGCAGGCGGUCCUUUAAGUCUGAUGUGAAAGCCCACGGCUCAACCGUGGAGGGUCAUUGGAAACUGGGGGACUUGAGUACAGAAGAGGAAAGCGGAAUUCCAAGUGUAGCGGUGAAAUGCGUAGAGAUUUGGAGGAACACCAGUGGCGAAGGCGGCUUUCUGGUCUGUAACUGACGCUGAGGCGCGAAAGCGUGGGGAGCAAACAGGAUUAGAUACCCUGGUAGUCCACGCCGUAAACGAUGAGUGCUAAGUGUUAGGGGGGUUUCCGCCCCUUAGUGCUGCAGCUAACGCAUUAAGCACUCCGCCUGGGGAGUACGGCCGCAAGGCUG
rnacentral:rRNA from 1 species